rnacentral:rRNA from 1 species
UACGUAGGGGGCAAGCGUUGUCCGGAAUCAUUGGGCGUAAAGCGCGUGUAGGCGGUCCGGUAAGUCGGCUGUGAAAGUCCAGGGCUCAACCCUGGGAUGCCGGUCGAUACUGCCAGACUAGAGUUCGGAAGAGGCGAGUGGAAUUCCCGGUGUAGCGGUGAAAUGCGCAGAUAUCAGGAAGAACACCAAUGGCGAAAGCAGCUCUCUGGGACGGUACUGACGCUGAGACGCGAAAGCGUGGGGAGCGAACAGG